GGUUGACCUCGGAUCAGGUAGGGAUACCCGCUGAACUUAAGCAUAUCAAUAAGCGGAGGAAAAGAAACCAACCGGGAUUGCCUCAGUAACGGCGAGUGAAGCGGCAACAGCUCAAAUUUGAAAUCUGGCUCCGUGCGGGGUCCGAGUUGUAAUUUGUAGAGGGUGUUUCGGGUGCGGUGCCGGUCUAAGUUCCUUGGAACAGGACGUCAUAGAGGGUGAGAAUCCCGUCUGCGAGUCGGCCACCAACCCCGGGUGAAACCCCUUCGACGAGUCGAGUUGUUUGGGAAUGCAGCUCAAAAUGGGUGGUAAAUUUCAUCUAAAGCUAAAUACCGGCCAGAGACCGAUAGCGCACAAGUAGAGUGAUCGAAAGAUGAAAAGCACUUUGGAAAGAGAGUUAAAAAGUACGUGAAAUUGUUGAAAGGGAAGCGCUUGCGACCAGACCUGUUCCCGGGCGAUCAUCCGCCAUUCGUGGCGGUGCACUCGCCCGGACGCAGGCCAGCAUCGGUUUGGGCGGCGGGACAAAGGGCUCGGGAAUGUAGCUCCCUCCGGGGAGCCUUAUAGCCCGGGUCGCCAUGCCGCCCGCCUGGACCGAGGACCGCGCUUCGGCUAGGAUGCUGGCGUAAUGGUCGUAAGCGACCCGUCUUGAAACACGGACCAAGGAGUCUACCAUUCAUGCGAGUGUUUGGGUGUCAAACCCAGGCGCGGAAUGAAAGUGAACGGAGGUGAGACCCCGCAAGGGCGCAUCAUCGACCGAUCCAGAUGUCUUCGGAUGGAUUUGAGUACGAGCAUGACUGGUGGGACCCGAAAGAUGAUGAACUAUGCCUGAAUAGGGUGAAGCCAGAGGAAACUCUGGUGGAGGCUCGCAGCGGUUCUGACGUGCAAAUCGAUCGUCGAAUUUGGGUAUAGGGGCGAAAGACCAAUCGAAUCAUCUAGUAGCUGGUUUACGUC
rnacentral:rRNA from 1 species